UCGGAAUUACUGGGCGUAAAGCGCGCGUAGGCGGUUAUUUAAGUGAGGUGUGAAAUCCCUGGGCUCAACCUAGGAACUGCAUUUCAAACUGGAUAACUUGAGUAUGUCAGAGGGUAUUGGAAUUUCCCCGUGUAGCAGUGAAAUGCGUAGAUAUGGGAAGGAACAUCAGUGGCGAAGGCGAAUACCUGGGAUAAUACUGACGCUGAGGUGCGAAAGCGUGGGGAGCAAACGGGAUUAGAUACCCUGGUAG
rnacentral:rRNA from 1 species